GACGACAUAGCUCAAUUGGUUAGAGCGUUGGAUUCAUAUCCGCCUUGGCGGACCCGAGUUCAAAUCUCGGUCUCGCUA
rnacentral:tRNA from 1 species